CCUACGGGCGGCAGCAGUGGGGAAUAUUGCACAAUGGGGGAAACCCUGAUGCAGCGACGCCGCGUGAGUGAAGAAGUAUCUCGGUACGUAAAGCCCUAUCAGCAGGGAAGAAAAUGACGGUACCUGACUAAUAAGCCCCUGCUAACUACGUGCCAGCAGCCGCUGUAAUACGUAGGGGUCACGCGUGAUCAGGAUUUACUGGGGGUAAAGGGGGCGUAGACGGCAGCACAAUGCUGGAGGGAAAUCCCUGGGCUUAACCCCGGAACUGCUUUGGACACUGGGCAGCUGGAGUGCAGGAGGGGUAAGCGGAAUUCCUAGUGUAGCGGUGAAAUGCGUAGAUAUUAGGAAGAACACCGGUGGCGAAGGCGGCUUACUGGAUUGUAACUGACGUUGAGGCUCGAAAGCGUGGGGAGCAAACAGGAUUAGAUACCCCUGUAGUC
rnacentral:rRNA from 1 species